rnacentral:sRNA from 1 species
UGAUAAGAUUGUUGCGCAGCUCAGCCC